rnacentral:rRNA from 1 species
GGAGCUUGCUCCUCUGACGUUAGCGGCGGACGGGUGAGUAACACGUGGAUAACCUACCUAUAAGACUGGGAUAACUUCGGGAAACCGGAGCUAAUACCGGAUAAUAUAUUGAACCGCAUGGUUCAAUAGUGAAAGACGGUUUUGCUGUCACUUAUAGAUGGAUCCGCGCCGCAUUAGCUAGUUGGUAAGGUAACGGCUUACCAAGGCAACGAUGCGUAGCCGACCUGAGAGGGUGAUCGGCCACACUGGAACUGAGACACGGUCCAGACUCCUACGGGAGGCAGCAGUAGGGAAUCUUCCGCAAUGGGCGAAAGCCUGACGGAGCAACGCCGCGUGAGUGAUGAAGGUCUUCGGAUCGUAAAACUCUGUUAUUAGGGAAGAACAAAUGUGUAAGUAACUAUGCACGUCUUGACGGUACCUAAUCAGAAAGCCACGGCUAACUACGUGCCAGCAGCCGCGGUAAUACGUAGGUGGCAAGCGUUAUCCGGAAUUAUUGGGCGUAAAGCGCGCGUAGGCGGUUUUUUAAGUCUGAUGUGAAAGCCCACGGCUCAACCGUGGAGGGUCAUUG